rnacentral:rRNA from 1 species
GCUUGAGCACGUAGGUGGGUUUGUAAGUCAGGUGUGAAAGCCUUCUGUUCAACGGGAGAAUUGCAUCUGAAACUGCGAGUCUUGAGUGUAGGAGGGGAGAAUGGAACUUCUGGUGGAGCGGUGAAAUGCGUAGAUAUCAGAAGGAACGCCGGCGGCGAAAGCGAUUCUCUGGCCUAUUACUGACACUCAGUGUGCGAAAGCUAGGGGAGCAAACGGGAUUAGAUACCCCGGUAGUCCUAGCCGUAAACGAUGGGCACUAAGUAGAGGGAAUUACCGAUAUUCUCUCUGCCGUAGCUAACGCAUUAAGUGCCCCGCCUGGGGAGUACGGCCGCAAGGCUAAAACUCAAAAGAAUUGACGGGGGCUCGCACAAGCGGUGGAGCAUGUGGCUUAAUUCGAUGCAACGCGAAAAACCUUACCGGGGCUUGACAUGGUAGAAGUAGGAACCCGAAAGGGUAACGAACGGUAUCCAGUCCGUAGCUAUUACAGGUGUUGCAUGGCUGUCGUCAGCUCGUGUCGUGAGACGUUGGGUUAAGUCCCCUAACGAGCGAAACCCUUGUUUUUAGUUGCCAGCGGGUUGUGCCGGGCACUCUAGAAAGACUGCCGUCGUCAAGACGGAGGAAGGUGGGGACGACGUCAAGUCAUCAUGGCCCUUAUGCCCCGGGCUGCACACGUGCUACAAUGGUCGGUACAAACGGAAGCGAAGCCGAGAGGUGAAGCGAAUCCAAGC